rnacentral:rRNA from 1 species
GACGAACGCUGGCGGCGUGCCUAAUACAUGCAAGUCGAACGCUGAAGGAGGAGCUUGCUUCUCCGGAUGAGUUACGGACGGGUGAGUAACGCGUAGGUAACCUGCCUGGUAGCGGGGGAUAACUAUUGGAAACGAUAGCUAAUACCGCAUAACAGUAGAUAUUGCAUGAUCUCUGCUUGAAAGGUUCACUUGCAUCACUACCAGCUGGCCCUGCCUUGUAUUAGCUAGUUGGUGGGGUAAACGGCCAACAAGGCGACGAUACAUAGCCUACCUGAGAGGGGGAACGGCCACACUUGGACUGAGGACCGGCCCAGACUCCCACGGGAGGCAGCAGUAGGGGAACUUCGGCAAUGGACGGAAGGCUGACCGAGGAACGCCGCGGGAGGGAAGAAGGGUGUCGGAGCGGAAAGCUCGGUUGUAAGAGAAGAAAGAGUGUGAGAGUGGAAAGUUCACACUGUGACGGUACCUUAACAGAAAGGGACGGCUAACUACGUG